rnacentral:rRNA from 1 species
UACUACGGCCAUGCCACUCUGAACAAGCCCGAUCCUGUCUGAUCUCAGAAGCUAAGCAGGGUCGGGCUUGGUUAGUACUUGGAUGGGAGACCACCUAGGAAGAUCAGGUGCUGUAGAUG